rnacentral:rRNA from 1 species
CGGCGGACGGGUGAGUAAUGCCUAGGAAUCUGCCUGGUAGUGGGGGACAACGUUUCGAAAGGAACGCUAAUACCGCAUACGUCCUACGGGAGAAAGCAGGGGACCUUCGGGCCUUGCGCUAUCAGAUGAGCCUAGGUCGGAUUAGCUAGUUGGUGAGGUAAUGGCUCACCAAGGCGACGAUCCGUAACUGGUCUGAGAGGAUGAUCAGUCACACUGGAACUGAGACACGGUCCAGACUCCUACGGGAGGCAGCAGUGGGGAAUAUUGGACAAUGGGCGAAAGCCUGAUCCAGCCAUGCCGCGUGUGUGAAGAAGGUCUUCGGAUUGUAAAGCACUUUAAGUUGGGAGGAAGGGUUGUAGAUUAAUACUCUGCAAUUUUGACGUUACCGACAGAAUAAGCACCGGCUAACUCUGUGCCAGCAGCCGCGGUAAUACAGAGGGUGCAAGCGUUAAUCGGAAUUACUGGGCGUAAAGCGCGCGUAGGUGGUUUGUUAAGUUGGAUGUGAAAGCCCCGGGCUCAACCUGGGAACUGCAUUCAAAACUGACAAGCUAGAGUAUGGU